UUAAAAAACAAAAUUGAAAAGUAGAAGCCCUAAUUUCUACGAUACUUUAUCAGAACAAAACAAAAACCCCUUUUCCAAGUUCAAAGUUCCACACCCAUCUUCAAUCUUCAUCUACUUCAUCAGAAUUUCGUCCGCAAAUUGGAAUUUCUUGUUGAUUCUUGUGGAUUAAAAUGGAUGCAUUUUUGAAGAAAUUUAAUCCUUCUCAACCAAGUUCAAGUUCCAGAGGCGAUUCGUCCCGUCUUAUAGAUGUGUUUGAUGUGGCGUAACUUAAAACUUAAAUAUGACCCUGGAGAAAGAAUACCUGUUGAGAAAUAUUUCCCUACGAGGCGAGAUGAUGUGAGAAGACACUAUAUUCAGAAAGGCCCUUGCCAACCGGAUGAUCCUGCUCUUACAUUCCCUCAAACUUUAAUCGGGACGAAAAUUCGUCGAUUUGUUCCGGUGUGGUUCGAGGGUUCAUAUUCUAGGUGGUUGGAGUAUAGUGUGAAGAGUAUUUUGCUUAUGUUGCUAUUUAUUCAAAAAUGACUGUAAAGGGAAGCGCGGGUGAGUUAUUCACGAAAGUCGAUUUUACGGCUUGAAUUAGAAGUUUGGAAAGAUUUAAUUUA